CGGCAAUCACGUGAUAAAUGAUCAAUCUUAAUAAAUGUACUACACUUUGAAACUAAGAAUAGUAUUUUUUGCGAAUGCCGGCGACAACGAGGCGAAAGAUGCGUCGCGCAAAGAACGCACGCUCGGCUACGAUCGGUAAUGGCAUAAGAGAGCAAUAGUAAAGUAGUAAUGGUAAUAGUAAGGACAGUGGCGCCACGAAUAGCAAUGAUCAGUUGGCGCGCGAAAUUCAAACGCGUUGCGGAUGCAAGGAGCGGUUAUACGAAAUUGCGACUUAAUUUCCGCUAAUGUAAAAAAAAAUAAGAUUGUUAAAUCCCUAUUAAAAUUAUUAAAAAACUA